rnacentral:rRNA from 1 species
CCUACGGGUGGCAGCAGUAGGGAAUUUUCGGCAAUGGGGGGAACCCUGACCGAGCAACGCCGCGUGAACGAAGAAGUUAUUCGUAAUGUAAAGUUCUUUUAACAGGGAAGAAAGAGAAAUUUGACGGUACCUGAAGAAUAAGACCCGGCUAACUACGUGCCAGCAGCCGCGGUAAUACGUAGGGUGCGAGAGUUAUCCGGAAUUAGUGGGCGUAAAGGGUGCGUAGAUGGGAUAGUAAGUCUGUUGUAAAAAUGCUGGGCUCAACCCAGUAGGGCAGAAGAUACUGCAAAGCUAGAGUAUGCGAGAGGCAAGCGGAACGACAUGUGUAGCGGUAAAAUGCGUAAAUAUAUCUAAGAACACCAGUGGCGAAGGCGGCUUGCCGGGUCCAUACUGACAUUGAGGCACGAAAGCGUGGGUAGCGAACAGGAUUAGAUACCCCUGUAGUC